rnacentral:lncRNA from 1 species
GUAGCUGCACUCAGAAUAGUUUUUAUUUUUAAGCAAAUUCACAGCUUGUUCUAGGAGCCACGAUGUUGGCUUUCCCCAGGCUGGCCAUUGCUGAGGGUAGGGACAGUGGCCAGCUCCCAUUCUCCGGACCAGGAAGGCAGGAGCUAGGAGGCCUGGGAAACGACAGGAGGAGUCAAGGGUCAGAAUUCACAGAGUGCCAGAACUGGAAGGGACCUCAGAGAACAGAAGUUCAAGUCCUGUUUCCCAGAUAAGGACACCAAGACCCAGAGGGGAAAUGACUCAGCCAACAACACGCACCCUUUGGAGGCCAGCAGGGCCACUUAAGUAUUGCUCCACCAGAGACCAGAACUGUGGGCCAGACCACUCUGGCCAGAGCCUCCCAGAGCCUCUGGGAUCCUGCCCAUGGAUCUGAGGAUUUCCACCCCAGGAGAAAUUCUGGGUGAGAGUUUGGAG